UACGAAGGGGGCUAGCGUUGCUCGGAAUCACUGGGCGUAAAGCGCACGUAGGCGGAUCUUUAAGUCAGGGGUGAAAUCCCAAGGCUCAACCUUGGAACUGCCUUUGAUACUGGGGAUCUCGAGUCCGGGAAGAGGGUUGGGUGGGAACUGCGGAGUGUAGAGGGUGAAAAUUCGUAGAUAUUCGCAAGAGCACCAGUGGCGAAGGCGGCCAACUGGUCCGGUACUGACGCUGAGGUACGAAAGCGUGGGGAGCAAACAGG
rnacentral:rRNA from 1 species